GCUUAUAGUAGUUCAAGAGGAUCAAUACGUUUGGUAGAUAUGCGGCAGUCAGCAUUGUGCGACUCGCACUCUAAGUUGUUUGAGGAGCAGGAAACUCCUGGCUCAAGGUCCUUUUUUACCGAGAUAAUUGCUUCAAUUUCAGAUAUAAAAUUUGCAAAGGCUGGAAGAUACAUACUCAGUCGUGACUACAUGACCCUGAAGCUAUGGGAUAUAAACAUGGA
rnacentral:misc_RNA from 1 species